AUCGAUGUGUACUUGGCCAAAAGUCUGGCAGAGAAGCUCUAUCUGUUUCAGUACCCUGUGCGUCCAGCCUCGAUGACCUACGAUGACAUUCCGCACCUCUCAGCCAAGAUCAAGCCUAAGCAGCAGAAGGAGGAGGCGGAGCGAAGAUGUGGGACGCAGGCCUGAUAUGUCUGGUGCCUAAGGGGAUGGGGAGAGCUGGAGGCACCUGCCCCGUCCAUAGGCCGGCCACAGCUCAAGCCCAGAGAUGCCACGUGGAGCUGUUCCUCCAGUAUUGCCAGCUCUGCUGAGUUUUCAAGAGCAGUUGGUAGAGCUUGAGAUGGCCAUGGACACCCUGAAUCCCAACUAUUGCCGCAGCAAAGGGGAGCAGAUCGCAUUGAACGUGGAUGGCGCCUGCACUGACGAGACCAGCACAUACUCCUCGAAGCUGAUGGACAAGCAGAUCUUCUGCUCUUCUCAGACCACCAGUAACACAUCCCGCUAUGCGGCUGCGCUCUACAGGAAAGGUGAGCUGCACCUGACUCCUUUACAUGGCAUCCUGCAGCUGCGACCCAGCUUCUCCUACCUGGAUAAAGCUGACGCCAAGCACCGCGAGAGGGAGGCAGCCAAUGAGGCGGGAGACUCUUCGCAGGAUGAGGCAGAAGAAGAUGUUAAGCAGAUCACGGUGCGGUUCUCCCGGCCAGAGUCGGAGCAGGCCCGCCAGCGCCGAGUGCAGUCCUACGAGUUCCUGCAAAAGAAGCAUGCCGAAGAGCCCUGGGUGCACCUGCAUUACUACGGCCUCAGGGACAGCCGUUCUGAGUACGAGCGCCAGUACCUGCUGUGCCAGGGCUCCAGUGGGGUUGAGAACACGGAGCUCGUCAAGUCACCCAGUGAGUACCUCAUGAUGCUGAUGCCACCCAGCCAGGAGGAAGAGAAAGACAAGCCUGUGGCCCCCAGCAAUGUCCUGUCCAUGGCCCAGCUGCGUACCCUGCCCCUGGCCGAUCAGAUCAAGAUCCUGAUGAAGAAUGUGAAGGUCAUGCCAUUUGCCAACUUGAUGAGCCUUCUAGGCCCCUCUAUCGACUCUGUGGCUGUUCUGCGUGGCAUCCAGAAGGUGGCGAUGUUAGUCCAGGGAAACUGGGUGGUGAAGAGUGACAUCCUAUACCCCAGAGACUCUUCCAGCCCACACAGCGGUGUGCCUGCAGAGGUGCUCUGCCGGGGCCGAGACUUUGUGAUGUGGAAGUUCACGCAGAGCCGCUGGGUGGUGAGGAAAGAGGUGGCAGCGGUGACUAAGCUCUGUGCGGAGGAUGUGAAGGACUUUCUGGAGCACAUGGCCGUGGUGAGGAUCAACAAAGGCUGGGAGUUCAUACUGCCUUAUGACAUGGAGUUCAUCAAGAAGCACCCGGAUGUGGUCCAGCGGCAGCACAUGCUGUGGACCGGCAUCCAGGCCAAAUUAGAAAAAGUCUAUAGUCUUGUGAAGGAAACCAUGCCAAAGAAGCCGGAUGGACAGUCAGUGCCUGCUGGGCUGGUCUCUGGGGAUCAGCGGGUCCAGGUUGCCAAAACCAAGGCGCAGAAGAACCACGCACUGCUGGAACGGGAGCUGCAGCGCAGGAAGCAGCAGAUGCAGGCGCCUGCUGUCCUGCCCGGCAUGCGGAUCAAGGAGGAGCCCAUGAGUGAGGAGGGAGAGGAGGAGGAGGAAGGGCAGGAAGCGGAGGAGGAAGAGGAGCCCAUGGACACUUCCCCCAGCGGUGGCCUCAACAGCAGGCUGGCCAAUGGGCUGCCUGCUGGGCGGGCAGCGGGUGGGGACAGCUUCAAUGGGCACCCGCCCCCGGGCAGUGCCAACACCCCUGUGGCCCGGGAACUGAGGGCCUUCGUGGAGGCCACCUUCCAGAGACAGUUUGUGCUCACGCUGAGCGAACUCAAGCGCCUCUUUAACCUGCACCUGGCCAGCCUGCCGCCAGGCCACACACUGUUCAGUGGCAUCUCUGACCGCAUGCUGCAGGACACGGUGCUGGCCGCCGGCUGCAAGCAGAUACUGGUGCCUUUUCCCCCACAGACUGCUGCUUCACCGGAUGAGCAGAAGGUGUUUGCCCUCUGGGAGUCUGGAGACAUGAGCGAUCAGCAUCGACAGGUUUUGCUUGAAAUUUUUUCCAAAAAUUACCGGGUGCGCCGGAACAUGAUCCAGUCUCGGUUGACUCAAGAAUGUGGAGAAGAUCUGAGUAAACAGGAAGUGGAUAAAGUGCUAAAGGACUGCUGUGUAAGCUAUGGUGGUAUGUGGUACCUUAAAGGGACAGUACAGUCUUGACAGUAGUAGUAAACCACUAACCCCAAUGAAUCCAAGCCUGAGGAAGGACAGCAGAGCCAGCAGAGGUAGAAGUGGUUCUCGACUUGCUUCAGGAAACACUGAACAAAAAGAACUGACCAUCGGGUGGCCUGGGGCAUUGCAUUGUCCAGUGGACAGAGGUGAUCAUUCUUAAUGGGUUGCAGGGUCAGCUUAAGUUCGAUCGCUCCCAGAAGAGACCAACCGGGACCUUCUUUAGUACAGUUUGAAAUUCCUGAUGUAUUUUGCUUAUUAUUUGGUUUCAUUCUCAUAAUAAAGAGAGUGUAUAUUGAAACGGACAGGACGAUGAAAAUCAUAGUUUAAUAUUUUACUUUUUAAACUUAAUGCCAACGAGGUCUAAGUUAUGUUUACAAGAUGAAGCAAAUCCAAGGUUUUUAAUAUUUAAAAUACCUAGAAGCCAAUACUUAGUCUUGGAUUAUCUAUCUGCUAAGACUUCUGCCAUUUUCAUGAAACAAACCAAAUUGAAUUGUUUUACUGUUGGGUUUCUGCGACCACUUUACCUUUUAAAACAACCUAUGUUACAUGGCAGUCUCAACUGUUUACAUGAAUCCUAGCAAAAAAAUUAGAAUCAAAUUCAUUUAUUCUUGAUGUUUGCAUAAGGUUGCAAACAAAACGAGGUAAGUAUGGAACAAUGUAUAAGCGAGGUUAUCACACUUUGAUGUAAAAAUUUAUAUUUUGUGUAUUUUUAAAAUAAAUGCUAACAGUAAACUGGCAACAUGGUGCUGCAGUCUUCAAGUGGGCUUCCGAUGGGUGUUUGUCUGUGAUCUGAAAGCAGCAAAUGUACCUGAGAUGGCGGGGAGCUAAUAAAGGGACGGAGAACUCCUUAGAGCAGCGCUGUCCAGUGAAAAUAUUAUUGAUGCGCAAGACUAUUCAAUCGGGAA